CAGAAAUACUGAUUGACAGCAAAGGCUACUCUUCAAGGGAGAAAGAGCUAUUUUUUGGCCAGAACAUCCUCUUAGACUUGAGGAAUGCUGUCCAGGAUGAGGAAUGAUGGGGAGAGAGCCUGGGAGUCAACAGUUGGACAUAAAGGAUCAAAGAAAGGAAUGGGCAUAAAAGGAGAGGAGCCCAAGCAUGGAAAAGAGGAGAACAGAGAAGGGAGUCCUGAGGAGGAAGGAGGCAUCUGACACAACAGUGGUAAAAGCAUCCUUAGGAAACCCUGCUGUGUAUUGUGUCCUAUAGCUCUCCCACCACCUCUACCACAAGAGUCUUUGAGUGAAGCUCUCUGUGGCUUCCCCAGGCUUUUUUCUUUUUUCUUUUUGCAUGGGUAAGAUUUGUGUAUUUCAGGUUGUGAAACUGUGCUGA
rnacentral:lncRNA from 1 species